rnacentral:rRNA from 1 species
UACGUAGGGUGCAAGCGUUAAUCGGAAUUACUGGGCGUAAAGCGUGCGCAGGCGGCUUUGUAAGACAGAUGUGAAAUGCCCGGGCUUAACCUGGGAACUGCAUUUGUGACUGCAAGGCUAGAGUUUGGCAGAGGGGGGUAGAAUUCCACGUGUAGCAGUGAAAUGCGUAGAUAUGUGGAGGAACACCGAUGGCGAAGGCAGCCCCCUGGGUCAAGACUGACGCUCAUGCACGAAAGCGUGGGGAGCAAACAGG